CAGUAGCGUAUAUUAAAGCUGUUGCAGUUAAAAGCUCGUAGUUGGAUCUUGGGCCCAGGCCUGCGGUCCGCCGUGAGGCGUGUACUGCAGUCCUGGCCUUCCUCUCGGUUUUCGCCCGUGCCCUUAAUUGAGUGCCAGGAGAGGCCGGAACGUUUACUUUGAAAAAUUGGAGUGUUCAAAGCAGGCCUCGCGCCUGAACAGCAGAGCAUGGAAUAAUGGAAUAGGACCUCGGUUCUAUUGCGUUGGUUUUCGGAACUCGAGGUAAUGAUUAAGAGGGACUGACGGGGCAUGCGUAUGCGGUGUGAGAGGUGAAUCGUUGGAAUUCGUGCCGCCAGAACGACCGACUGCGAAAGCAUUUGCCAAGAAUGUUUUCAUUAAUCAAGAACGAAAGUUAGGGGAUC
rnacentral:rRNA from 1 species